rnacentral:rRNA from 1 species
ACGACCGGCGCACGGGUGCGUAACGCGUAUGUAACCUACCUAUUACAGGGGAAUAACCCGGAGAAAUUCGGACUAAUACCCCAUAUGUUCAGAAGAGGCAUCUCUUUUGUAUGAAAGAUUUAUCGGUAGUAGAUGGACAUGCGUGACAUUAGUUAGAUGGUGAGGUAACGGCUCACCAUGACUACGAUGUCUAGGGGUUCUGAGAGGAAGGUCCCCCACACUGGUACUGAGACACGGACCAG